AUGACGUGUCACGGUGGGUUCGUGACCACGCACCCUGCACCACAGUUCCCACAAAUAGCAUGGUGCUGUGUGAUUUGUACUACGUGGACAAACACCACCCUGAAAUGUUCUACGUCGAAGCCAGGUACUCGUCCUGCACAAGGCUCAGUUGUCUCUGCACAAGCCCCCUCCGCCCCCCCUUUCUUGGGUGAAUCGUUCAGUUUUCAGGAAUUGAGGUGCUCAGUCACACUCAUCAACGUUGAAAACAGUUAUGACCGUGCACCCAGUACCCAGAUCCUGAAUUCCACCAAAAUUCGGAUGAUGAUGGUGAUGAUGAUGAUGGUGGUGAUGAUGAUGAGGGUGAUGAUGAUGUCAUGAUGAAUGAUCACGGAUGAGGAUGAUGAUGGUCAUGACGAUGACGAUGAUGAAUGGUGAUAAUCACAAUGAUGACGAUAAUGAUGGUGAUGAUGUCAUGAUGACAAUGAUGCUGGUGAUGACGUCACGAUGAAUGAUCAAGGAUGCGGAUGACGAUGAUGGUGGUGUUGAGGAUGAUGACCAAAAUGAUGACGAUGAUGGCGACGAUGCUGAUGCCCCUGAGCUCCCAGAAAAAGCAGCCGUGUUAACACCUGGAAAUUCAGCACACGUGUUGGAAGACACAAGCGGCGAGGCCUCAGCCGUGCGUGCGACCGUAAAACAACACCCACACUCCGCACCGCCUCUCCCGAGCUCUCCACCCGUGACGAUUGACGUGCGUGUGAUUCAUCAUCACGUCGGUCUUUCAUUGACUGAAUCCGUGACGUUUCUAUGAAAACGUUUCUCCACGAUACUGUUCAGGGCAGCAUAAUGUUUUAUCCAAACGUGUCCUGAUGUCACAUCACGUCUUUGGACGAGCACUCAGUGCUUGGAAACGUCUCUCCAUCAGCCACGAUGCUCCGCAGAUAGGCGCCAGUUUUAGGUCCUAUGACUCCCAAUGCAAGACAAGGGACAUUGUGUUAGGCAGGGGAGGCAUGGGGUGCUGAGCUAAGUACCAUAAAAUAGUUACAAAAAUACCAGAAAUGUAAUAAAAGAUGAGGAGUUAAACGAAGCUGGGAUUUGGAAAUAAAAUUGUCGCAUAAAACACGCAAGACACAGAUCGAGGGUUGUCUGUCUCAGUAAAGUGCUUGUAAUUCAGUGGGUGGAGUGCUUGUAGCUCUGUGGGUGGAGUGCUUGUAGCUUAGUGGUUAAAGUGCUUGUAGCUCAGUGGGCACAGUGCUUGCAGCUCAGUAGUUACAGGGCUUGUAGUUCAGUAGGAAGAGUACUUGUAGCUCAGGCUUGUAGCUCAGUGGGUAGGGAGCCUGUAGUUCCAUGGGUACAGUGCUUGUAGCUCAGUAGUUACAGGGCUUGUAGUUCAGUAGGAAGAGUACUUGUAGCUCAGGAUUGUAGCUCAGUGGGUAGGGAGCCUGUAGUUCCAUGGGUACAGUGCUUAUAGCUCAGUAGUUACAGGGCUUGUAGUUCAGGAGCUAGAGUGCUUGUAGCUCAGUGGGCAGAGCGCUUGUGACUCAGUGGGUAGAGUGCUUGAAGUUCACUAGGUGGAGUGCUUGUAGCUUAGUGGGGAGAGUACUUGUAACCCUAGUACCUAGUAAUGGAACCUAGUCCUGUAAACCUAGUACCUCGUACUGCAACCUAGUGCCACAAGCAGUACUAGUACUGCAACCUAGUAGUGUAAACCUAGUAGCUAGUACUGUAACCUAGUACUGUAAAUCUAGUACCUAGUACUGUAACCCUAGUACCGAGUAUUGUAACCUAGUACUACACACCUAGUCCCUCCUACUGCAAGCUAGUACCUAGUACUGUAAACCUAAUAUCUAGUGUGGUAACCUAGUACUGCAAACCUAGUCCCUAGUACUGAAGAACUGCCACAUUCAUGGGUACUGGGGAGCUCCGAGAAGGAAAAAACCCAUGUGCAUGUGGGCCUGUUGGCAAAGCCUCAAGGAAAUGCCUGCUGAAGGUGCUAGGUGCACAGUCCACCUAGGAAUCGCUUGACUCUGUAGAUGACUUUUGAAUGCACACUUAGCUCAUGAGAUAGGAAACACAUGCGGAAAGUGCUGAACUCGGUUCAUCGGGCAUUUUCCGACUCAGACCAGAGAAAAUUGUAGGUUCCACGAUGCGCUCAGUUGCCCCGGCGACUGGGUAAUUACCACGGGAUGGAUCUGGACGUUAAUUUAUGCACGCCUAGUACUGUAGGAACGCGAAAUUAAAGCCUGGGACCGAGGAUCCAGCACCCCGUAAUUUCAGCCGUCAUUGUCCGCCCCACGGCUGGAAACCAGCUGGAACCAGUUUAGAGACCUCAGAUGACACACAAUGUGCAAAGUGAAACAGACUCGAGUUUCCCGAUUCAGACGUGUGUGCACACGGCCCACCCCGUGCUCCCAUGAUGCUCUGCUCCUCCAAAGGUGAGAGACACAGAGAGAGAGAGAGAGAGAGAGAGAGAGAGACAUCCACCAUCCAUGACCAUCCAUCAUCCAUCCAUCAUCCACCACCCCAGCUGGGGCUGCUACAGGGAGACCCUGCUCAGAAACACCAAAUCCAUAAUAAGUGAAUAAAUAGCAAAUAAACAAAAUAAAAAUAAUCUAAAACUUAA
rnacentral:lncRNA from 1 species